AGAGUUUGAUCCUGGCUCAGGAUGAACGCUAGCGACAGGCUUAACACAUGCAAGUCGAGGGGCAGCGCAGGUAGCAAUACCGGGUGGCGACCGGCGCACGGGUGAGUAACGCGUAUGCAACUUACCUAUCAGAGGGGGAUAACCCGGCGAAAGUCGGACUAAUACCGCAUGAAGCAGGGAUCCCGCAUGGGAAUAUUUGCUAAAGAUUCAUCGCUGAUAGAUAGGCAUGCGUUCCAUUAGGCAGUUGGCGGGGUAACGGCCCACCAAACCGACGAUGGAUAGGGGUUCUGAGAGGAAGGUCCCCCACAUUGGUACUGAGACACGGACCAAACUCCUACGGGAGGCAGCAGUGAGGAAUAUUGGUCAAUGGGCGUAAGCCUGAACCAGCCAAGUCGCGUGAGGGAUGAAGGUUCUAUGGAUCGUAAACCUCUUUUAUAAGGGAAUAAAGUGCGGGACGUGUCCCGUUUUGUAUGUACCUUAUGAAUAAGGAUCGGCUAACUCCGUGCCAGCAGCCGCGGUAAUACGGAGGAUCCGAGCGUUAUCCGGAUUUAUUGGGUUUAAAGGGUGCGUAGGCGGCCUUUUAAGUCAGCGGUGAAAGUCUGUGGCUCAACCAUAGAAUUGCCGUUGAAACUGGGGGGCUUGAGUAUGUUUGAGGCAGGCGGAAUGCGUGGUGUAGCGGUGAAAUGCAUAGAUAUCACGCAGAACCCCGAUUGCGAAGGCAGCCUGCCAAGCCAUGACUGACGCUGAUGCACGAAAGCGUGGGGAUCAAACAGGAUUAGAUACCCUGGUAGUCCACGCAGUAAACGAUGAUCACUAGCUGUUUGCGAUACACUGUAAGCGGCACAGCGAAAGCGUUAAGUGAUCCACCUGGGGAGUACGCCGGCAACGGUGAAACUCAAAGGAAUUGACGGGGGCCCGCACAAGCGGAGGAACAUGUGGUUUAA
rnacentral:rRNA from 1 species